rnacentral:rRNA from 1 species
GACGAACGCUGGCGGCGUGCCUAACACAUGCAAGUCGAACGGAAAGGCCCUGCUUUUGUGGGGUGCUCGAGUGGCGAACGGGUGAGUAACACGUGAGUAACCUGCCCUUGACUUUGGGAUAACUUCAGGAAACUGGGGCUAAUACCGGAUAGGAGCUCCUGCUGCAUGGUGGGGGUUGGAAAGUUUCGGCGGUUGGGGAUGGACUCGCGGCUUAUCAGCUUGUUGGUGGGGUAGUGGCUUACCAAGGCUUUGACGGGUAGCCGGCCUGAGAGGGUGACCGGCCACAUUGGGACUGAGAUACGGACCAGACUCCUACGGGAGGCAGCAGUGGGGAAUAUUGCACAAUGGGCGGAAGCCUGAUGCAGCAACGCCGCGUGCGGGAUGACGGCCUUCGGGUUGUAAACCGCUUUCGCCUGUGACGAAGCGUGAGUGACGGUAAUGGGUAAAGAAGCACCGGCUAACUACGUG